CGCGCGGGCGCCCCAAAGGACACCAAUCGAAACUCUGCAUCUCAUGCGUCGGAGUCAUUAUGUGAAUCAAUCAAAACUUUCAACAACGGAUCUCUUGGUUCUGGCAUCGAUGAAGAACGCAGCGAAAUGCGAUAAGUAAUGUGAAUUGCAGAAUUCAGUGAAUCAUCGAAUCUUUGAACGCACAUUGCGCCCCCUGGCAUUCCGGGGGGCAUGCCCGUUCGAGCGUCAUUACACCACUCAAGCCUGGCUUGGUAUUGGGCGUCGGGAUGCACCCGCGCCUCCAUGUUUGUUCGGCUGGACGGUUGGAAUCUCAGCGUUGUGCAAUCAAUCCGCUGUGGGACCCGACUGGACGCGCCGUGAAAAAUCUCAUCACAGGUUGACCUCGGAUCGGGUAGGGAUACCCGCUGAACUUAA
rnacentral:rRNA from 1 species